rnacentral:rRNA from 1 species
UUUGGUGGCGAUAGCGAAGAGGUCUCACCCGUUCCCAUGCCGAACACGGAAGUUAAGCUCUUCAGCGCCGAUGGUAGUCGGGGGUUUCCCCCUGUGAGAGUAGGACGCCGCCAAGC